AGUGCAAAAGCCUUGGGUUCAUUCAUCCCCCCAGUGGGUGCAUAUCAAGAUUUGCUUAGGAGAGUCCAGAAUCCUGGUCACAGCCCCCACUGAGCUGUCACACUAGAUCAGCUCCAUGGUGCACUUGACCAAGACACCAUUGGGCACAUGGUGGGAAGACCUGGUGUCAGCCUCAGCACUCAUUGGACCAUCUGUAGUGGAGACAACACGGGCUUGGAUCAGCAGGUGCAAGACACCAGGAGCCACCAGCAGCUUGAAGAAGCAAAGACGGAUCCUCCCUGUAGCCUCUGAAAGGAGCUCAGCCCUGCUGAUGCCUGAUGCCCCAUUCCUGCCCUGGAGAAGUGGAAGAAGGGACUCACAGCUAAGUCUUGGCCUUAAAUCUCAGAAGAUAUUCUGGAUUCAGCCUUAUGAGGCAUGUGAAACUAUUGGGAACCUGGCAACUCUUAGAGAUGGACUAAAUACAUUUUGCAUAAAAGGAUGAGCAUGAGAGCCUUUUGCAGUCCCUGUAAAGGCAAAGCGGGCCUUUAUACACCUUGAUAAUGAGGCUUCCCUAAGGAAGAACAGCUACAAGAGAGAUCUGUGGCCUGCAGGGCAAGGAUGAAGACCUGGAGGGGAAGGAAGGGCCUCAUGAAGCCAGGUGCAGUGGUGCACACCAAUAGUCCUCACUUCAGCAGCCUGAAGCAGGAGAGUCACUUGAGGCCAUGUCUUCCAGGCCAGCCUGGGAAAUAUCACAAGAAGCCUGACACAAGAGAAGGAACAGGAGGUGCCAGAGUUCAUGCAUUCACUCAGUAGUGAUGAAUGCCUACUGUAUACUAAGCACUGGAGCAUGCAUAGGGAAAAUAAGGGUAAGUGUAAGAAGAUACUCCUUACCUCCGCUGAACUUACGCACACUGGUGGACAGGCAUUAAUUAAAGAAUCACAUGGGAAAAUCUCAGCCAGUCCCACGUCCUGAGGGGAGAGGGACAGGGACUGCGGAAGGACAUGGUGAAGGAAGCUGACCUGGUCUGGGAGGUCAGGCAAGGGCCCCAAGGAAGCAGGGCUUAAACCGAGACCUCAGGUGUGAGGAAGAGCACUCUUGGCACAAUGUGUACAGCCUAUGCAAAGGUUCUGAGGCAGAGGACAAAUUCAGCAAAGGUGAGGCUUUGUAAAAAGGCCAGGUGCAAAGGAGGAGGAGGAGGAAGGUGGGUACAGUGUAAGGCUGGAGAGACAGGAAAGAACCAGACCACAAGGGCUAUGCAGGUCCUCUUAAGUGAUUUUGUCUUCACCCUGAGAGUAAUGGGGUCUAUUGAACCACUUAAAACAAAUGAGCAGAGGGCAGGGGAUUUAGCUCAGUGGUUCUGCCACUUGCUUCACGAGCGCAAGGU